rnacentral:rRNA from 1 species
GUGCCAGCAGCCGCGGUAAUACGGAAGGUCCGGGCGUUAUCCGGAUUUAUUGGGUUUAAAGGGAGCGCAGGCCGGAGUCAAGCGUGACGUGAAAUGUAGCCGCUCAACGGCUGAACUGCGUCGCGAACUGGCUUUCUUGAGUGAGUUCGAUGUGGGCGGAAUUCGUGGUGUAGCGGUGAAAUGCUUAGAUAUCACGAAGAACUCCGAUUGCGAAGGCAGCCCACAAGGCCUUUACUGACGCUAAAGCUCGAAGGCGCGGGUAUCGAACAGGAUUAGAUACCCUGGUAGUCCGCACGGUAAACGAUGGAUGCCCGCUGUUUGCGAUAUACUGUGAGCGGCCAAGAGAAAUCGUUAAGCAUCCCACCUGGGGAGUACGCCGGCAACGGUGAAACUCAAAGGAAUUGACGGGGGCCCGCACAAGCGGAGGAACAUGUGGUUUAAUUCGAUGAUACGCGAGGAACCUUACCCGGGCUUGAACUGCAGCGGAAGGAUACAGAGAUGUUGACGCCCUUCGGGGCCGCUGUGGAGGUGCUGCAUGGUUGUCGUCAGCUCGUGCCGUGAGGUGUCGGCUUAAGUGCCAUAACGAGCGCAACCCUUUUCAUUAGUUGCCAUCAGGUCAUGCUGGGCACUCUGAUGAUACUGCCACCGUAAGGUGUGAGGAAGGUGGGGAUGACGUCAAAUCAGCACGGCCCUUACGUCCGGGGCUACACACGUGUUACAAUGGGUGGUACAGAGAGUCGGUCGUCUGCAAAUGCGAUCCAAUCCUUAAAGCCAUCCUCAGUUCGGAUUGGGGUCUGCAACCCGACCCCAUGAAGCUGGAUUCGCUAGUAAUCGCGCAUCAGCCAUGGCGCGGUGAAUACGUUCCCGGGCCUUGUACACACCGCCCGU